AGCGAACGCUGGCGGCAGGCCUAACACAUGCAAGUCGAACGAACCUUUCGGGGUUAGUGGCGGACGGGUGAGUAACACGUGGGAACGUGCCUUUAGGUUCGGAAUACCUCAGGGAAACUUGUGCUAAUACCGAAUGUGCCCUUCGGGGGAAAGAUUUAUCGCCUUUAGAGCGGCCCGCGUCUGAUUAGCUAGUUGGUUGAGGUAAUGGCUCACCAAGGCGACGAUCAGUAGCUGGUCUGAGAGGAUGAUCAGCCACAUUGGGACUGAGACACGGCCCAAACUCCUACGGGAGGCAGCAGUGGGGAAUCUUGCGCAAUGGGCGAAAGCCUGACGAAGCCAUGCCGCGUGAAUGAUGAAGGUCUUAGGAUUGUAAAAUUCUUUCACCGGGGACGAUAAUGACGGUACCCGGAGAAGAAGCCCCGGCUAACUUCGUG
rnacentral:rRNA from 1 species